rnacentral:rRNA from 1 species
UACGGAGGUGGCAAGCGUUGCUCGGAAUCACUGGGCGUAAAGGGCGCGUAGGCGGGGAGGUAAGUCGGGUGUGAAAUCCCUCGGCCCAACCGAGGAACUGCCGCCGAGACUGCUUCUCUUGAGUCCCGGAGAGGAAGGUGGAAUUCCCGGUGUAGCGGUGAAAUGCGCAGAUAUCAGGAAGAACACCAAUGGCGAAGGCAGCUCUCUGGGACGGUACUGACGCUGAGACGCGAAAGCGUGGGGAGCGAACAGG